rnacentral:tRNA from 1 species
GCCACCUUAGCUCAGCUGGUAGAGCAACUGUUUUGUAAACAGUAGGUCCCCGGUUCAAAUCCGGGAGGUGGCUCCA